rnacentral:rRNA from 1 species
GGUGGGGACGACGUCAAGUCAUCAUGGCCCUUAUGUCCUGGGCUACACACGUGCUACAAUGGCCGGUACAGAGCGCAGCGAGGCCGCGAGGCGGAGCGAAUCGCUUAAAGCCGGUCCCAGUACGGAUUGGAGUCUGCAACCCGACUCCAUCGAAGUUGGAAUCGCUAGUAAUCGCGCAUCAGCAUGGCGCGGUGAAUACGUUCCCGGGCCUU